UAAGGUUCCAUUUGUCUGCUAGUUAAGACAAAUUAAAAGCAUGCAAGUCAUUGUAUUUUGCAUCUGAGUUUACCUUCAGGCACAAAUCCAAACCGAAGGACAAAGAUUUAAAUAAAAAAAAAAAAAAAAAAGAACAGCGUUGCCUCACCUUUGGACGGCAGCUCGGCAUGGAUCCAAGGCAGAUGUGGCCCUGUGUCUCUAAGAGAGAAGAGAAUCAAUGAUCCUUUGCAAAAAGGAACAUCUGGCACAGUCUUAAAGAUGGCAAAUGACACUGGCAUCAGAGUAAUGUACAAAGACAAGCAAGUUUUAUAUUUUAUUGCCGUUAUGUAAUGAUUGACUGGAAGAGCUCAUACGCUUAGUUGCAGGUUGAGUUGUUUAAAGGCAAUAUUGACCUUCGUUUUCUAUUUUGAAUGUUUUCGGCACAGUUAGAGCCUUUUGCAAGCACAGUGUGUCACUGCUCAGGUGUGUUACCUGUUUUGAUAAGGUGGAGUUUGGGUUGACAUGAAAGCAAUCAAGAACACCUGUAGAGCAGGAGGAUCAAAGUCAUUUUAAUUUUGGGCCAAAUCAAGAUCAUGGACGCUCUUAAAGGGCCAGUUGUGCCAGAAUGUAUGGAUAAAACAUAUGAACAUGCUUUUAAAAUAUUAAUAAAUUCUUAAAAUUACAUUAUGUUGACCAUCUUUUCCCAUUGAUCAGUCCCUCCAGGGUUGUGCGAUUGCUUUUGUGAUUAUUUGCAAUAAAAGUCAAAUAUUUGUGAUACUAAUUUAGAAACAUUUGUGCUAACUGCACAUAUGAAUGACGGUAAAUUCGCCAUUUUAUUCCUCACCAGUAUAGAUUAUGGACUAUAAUUUGAAACCAAUUAAAGCUGAGGCAGCUGUUUAGUACAAAUAAGAAUAUUAGCAUCACCUGAACUCAAUGUUUUUCAUAAUUUUUGCCAAAAAAAAAUCUGCAAUAAUUAGCAUUAGCACAAGAAAAGCGUGGGAAUUUGUGGAUUUAUAACUUUCACAAAAGUUUGCAAA